AGUUCGUGGAGUGAUCUGUCUGCUUAAUUGCGUUUCACUAAGGGCCCAUAAAUUCAAGGUAUGUUAGCUAUCGUUUCUCAAUUGACCCCUUGUCUUCGAUAAGCGCGUGUCUUUUAGAGUUUAAACAUUGCGCAUGCUGUUGGGUCCUGAAAGCAACGAACGUGACCGCAACGUCUUAUUGCCUUUAUCUUGCUAUAUUUUAAUUUAAUUAAAAAUAGCUAACAGAGGCUAAUUUAAAAUUAGACGGACCGCUGUACUUUUCUUAAACCAGAGGAAGGUUGCGGCAAUAACAGGUCUGUGAUGCCCUUAGAUGUUCCGGGCUGCACACGUGCUACAAUGAUCAGUACAGUGAGCAUCUCAAUAUUAUACACCGUAUUAAGCGCUUAGUUGCGAUUAUUGGCUCAUUAUUGGGUCUUUUAAUUGUAUUUCUAAUGCGCGCGGUAAAGCCUGCUUCGAGAGUAAGUGGGUAAUCCAUUGGAAGUAAUGAUUUCUCUUUUUAUAGCACACCUAUAUACGGCAUUCAUUCCCGGGACGACUAGUUUCGUCUUUUUUGUGCGAAUGUAAUGUAUUCUUUAUCCGUAUGUGCGAUUGUCAAUUCAU
rnacentral:rRNA from 1 species